rnacentral:rRNA from 1 species
UUAUUGGAGAGUUUGAUCCUGGCUCAGGACGAACGCUGGCGGCGUGCCUAAUACAUGCAAGUCGAGCGAAUCGGAGGGAGCUUGCUCCCAAAGAUUAGCGGCGGACGGGUGAGUAACACGUGGGCAACCUGCCUGUAAGACUGGGAUAACUUCGGGAAACCGGAGCUAAUACCGGAUAAUCCUUUCCCUCACAUGAGGGAAAGCUGAAAGACGGUUUCGGCUGUCACUUACAGAUGGGCCCGCGGCGCAUUAGCUAGUUGGUGAGGUAACGGCUCACCAAGGCCACGAUGCGUAGCCGACCUGAGAGGGUGAUCGGCCACACUGGGACUGAGACACGGCCCAGACUCCUACGGGAGGCAGCAGUAGGGAAUCUUCCGCAAUGGACGAAAGUCUGACGGAGCAAC